AAAACUAGGAUCAUAUUAUGGGCUUGAGGGUAGUAGCUUCUGCUGGUGUAUACACUGUCUUUGUUAUUGGGUAGAUGGGAUACUAUUCUUGUAUGCAUAGGUUGGCUCUUACCUUUAGCAUUCUCCUGAAGCUCAGUCCAUUUCUUUUGAGAGUCCCCUGUUAUAAACUUGAACCACCAGAAAGGGACCAUCUUUGUAUCCUGACCUUCACCUUAGCCAAAUGAGUUCAUUGAUGAUGCAUAGCUUGAUUCACGUUCCUAAACUAAUGAAUGUUAAAGGGAUUGGUAGAUUUGAAAGCAUGUGUAGGUCGAGUAUAAGAGUGGGAUUGAACUAUAAUAAGGCAUGACUAACGUUUUUGAGUAGAGUUCGAUAAUAUCGCAUCCUAGAACUACCAACUUGGACAUUGAUUCUAUCUGAUUUAUCUGAUGCUUUGGUUCUGAAUCCCCACCUUCAAACCUCUCCUUCAGCUUAUGUCUACUUGUUUGCUUGAGGGCAAGCAAAGACUAAGUUUGGGGGAGUUGAUAUGUCUAUAAUUUGCAUGUUUUACACAUCCUUUUAUUACCAUUUUGAGUCUAGUUUCAUCCAUCUUUCAUAACAUUCACCAUCAUUUUUGUACAUUUUGCAUCUUUAGUCGAGUCUAGGACUAGUCUUGCAUACAUUCUGCAUUUUGGAGUUGUUUCAGGUGUUUUGGAGCUAUUGGUGCUCAGAAAGAGGGAAAACAGAACAGAAAGUCACACUUCCACCAAACAUACUCGAUCACCAGUAGCAGAGAGGGAAGCAGUCAGCUCAGCAGUCCAUCCAGACACUUCUACUCGACCGUAGAGGAGAGGAGGCAGUCCAUUCUGCAAUUCUACUCUAUCGCAGAGGCGACCAGGCAGUCCACUUUACCAGUUCACUAGUUAUACUCUAUCGCAGAGGAGAAGAACCAGUCCAUCCUCACAGCUGACACACUUACUCGAUCACAGAGG
rnacentral:sRNA from 1 species